rnacentral:rRNA from 1 species
GUUGGCCGGGCGACGGUUGUCCCGGUUUAAGCGUGUAGGCUGGUUUUCCAGGCAAAUCCGGAAAAUCAAGGCUGAGGCGUGAUGACGAGGCACUACGGUGCUAAAGCAACAAAUGCCCUGCUUCCAGGAAAAGCCUCUAAGCAUCAGGUAACAUCAAAUCGUACCCCAAACCGACACAGGUGGUCAGGUAGAGAAUACCAAGGCGCUUGAGAGAACUCGGGUGAAGGAACUAGGCAAAAUGGUGCCGUAACUUCGGGAGAAGGCACGCUGAUAUGUAGGUGAGGUCCCUCGCGGAUGGAGCUGAAAUCAGUCGAAGAUACCAGCUGGCUGCAACUGUUUAUUAAAAACACAGCACUGUGCAAACACGAAAGUGGACGUAUACGGUGUGACGCCUCCCCGGUGCCGGAAGGUUAAUUGAUGGGGUUAGCGCAAGCGAAGCUCUUGAUCGAAGCCCCGGUAAACGGCGGCCGUAACAAUAACGGUCCUAAGGUAGCGAAAUUCCUUGUCGGGUAAGUUCCGACCUGCACGAAUGGCGUAAUGAUGGCCAGGCUGUCUCCACCCGAGACUCAGUGAAAUUGAACUCGCUGUGAAGAUGCAGUGUACCCGCGGCAAGACGGAAAGACCCCGUGAACCUUUACUAUAGCUUGACACUGAACAUUGAGCCUUGAUGUGUAGGAUAGGUGGGAGGCUUUGAAGUGUGGACGCCAGUCUGCAUGGAGCCGACCUUGAAAUACCACCCUUUAAUGUUUGAUGUUCUAACGUUGACCCGUAAUCCGGGUUGCGGACAGUGUCUGGUGGGUAGUUUGACUGGGGCGGUCUCCUCCUAAAGAGUAACGGAGGAGCACGAAGGUUGGCUAAUCCUGGUCGGACAUCAGGAGGUUAGUGCAAUGGCAUAAGCCAGCUUGACUGCGAGCGUGACGGCGCGAGCAGGUGCGAAAGCAGGUCAUAGUGAUCCGGUGGUUCUGAAUGGAAGGGCCAUCGCUCAACGGAUAAAAGGUACUCCGGGGAUAACAGGCUGAUACCGCCCAAGAGUUCAUAUCGACGGCGGUGUUUGGCACCUCGAUGUCGGCUCAUCACAUCCUGGGGCUGAAGUAGGUCCCAAGGGUAUGGCUGUUCGCCAUUUAAAGUGGUACGCGAGCUGGGUUUAGAACGUCGUGAGACAGUUCGGUCCCUAUCUGCCGUGGGCGCUGGAGAACUGAGGGGGGCUGCUCCUAGUACGAGAGGACCGGAGUGGACGCAUCACUGGUGUUCGGGUUGUCAUGCCAAUGGCACUGCCCGGUAGCUAAAUGCGGAAGAGAUAAGUGCUGAAAGCAUCUAAGCACGAAACUUGCCCCGAGAUGAGUUCUCCCUGACCCUUUAAGGGUCCUGAAGGAACGUUGAAGACGACGACGUUGAUAGGCCGGGUGUGUAAGCGCAGCGAUGCGUUGAGCUAACCGGUACUAAUGAACCGUGAGGCUUAACCCU